rnacentral:rRNA from 1 species
UACAGAGGGUGCAAGCGUUAAUCGGAGUUACUGGGCGUAAAGCGUGCGUAGACGGUUAUGUAAGUCGGGUGUGAAAGCCCCGGGCUCAACCUGGGAAUUGCAUUCGAGACUGCAUAGCUAGGGUGCGGAAGAGGGAAGCGGAAUUUCCGGUGUAGCGGUGAAAUGCGUAGAUAUCGGAAGGAACACCAGUGGCGAAAGCGGCUUCCUGGUCCAGCACCGACGUUCAGGCACGAAAGCGUGGGGAGCAAACAGG